rnacentral:snoRNA from 1 species
ACCCUCCAGCUUCCUCACCCAUCAGAUCUAAACGCUGGUCUGAGUAGUUAUAAAAAAGUGGAAAAACAAAAUUGAAACUGACUUCAAGUGUUUGGCGACAUAUGAGCUAGGGG